rnacentral:snoRNA from 1 species
CUAAUAUGAUGAGCUACAAGAUAGGGACAACAGAUUUCUAAGUGACGAGGAAAGUCUUUUUAAGCCCAGUUUUUAGUAGAGCUUUGGGCGCAAUCUCUGAAU